ensembl:lncRNA
AUGCACCUGCAGGAAGUGAUUGAAGACCCUGGUUCAGAGUUCUCACCCAGUCAGAAGAAAUGGAAUUGGGAACCCUCUCAAAGAAGCUCACUGGAUAUGCUUUUGUCAAACAGAUGUGUUGCACUGGAGUACCGCUUCUGUCCCCGGUUGUCUUGGGCUCUCCAAAGCCUGGGGGCUGGAAUACCUACAUUUUCCAAACAGCGAAGAUGGCAGCCUGCCCAUCUCUUUGGAAUCUCCAUCCCAGGAAAUUUGCAAAUCUCUGUAGGCAAGAGAACAGUGGUGGGGAUGGCUGGAGGCCCUGGUUGGAAGGUCCCACUCAGUGAGGAGGAAUGGAUCAGGGACCUGCUUAAAGAAGCAGUCUGGCCACGUUUUAGGAGAGCAACUCUUCUGUGCUGGGGGAUCCUUUCAGCCCUCGGUCAGUUUGGACGCUUCAAAGCCCACAGGCUGGAAGAGCUGAGUCAUCUAAACAGUAAAGCUGGCAGUCUACCCUUUCUCCCAGGAACUUUGUCACAGAACCAUAUACACGUCAUGUGGUAUUCUCAUGAAGGCAAAGUAUGAUCAUUGGAGACUUACUCACCACUAAAUGUGUUGUGUCCCAGAGGAAAAUAAAGAGGGAAGCUGUUGCAUACAAAGUAAGUCAUUUCUUGAAUUGGGAAUUAUAAUUAUUUUUGAGUAAGUCUGAGGAGAGACCAUGUGUGGAUUUUUUUUUUCUUUUCCACAUUACUAGGAGUUGAAUUGAAUAUAAAGUGUGAAGGGGUGUGUGCGUGCAUGCAUGUGUGUGUGUGUAAGUUGUCUUUAUGUGAAGAAUACAACAUUUAGUAAAGGGGAAGAGAGGAUAAAUUCAAUAAGAAAACCAAGCAUUUUUCUAAGAUUUAAAAAAUUGUUUUACAAUUUUAUAUAUCAUAAAGAUUAUCUGACAUAUAAGUUUGAUAGAAACAGAUUAUACAAAAAAUUUUACAUAUCCACUAAGAUAAAUUAUAUUUUUAAAUUAUUGAAAUUAAUAUAUUAAAAACAUAAUGGUUAUACAUUUCUCUAUUUUUCAAUAAUUGCGUUUUGUCUGAGUUAAUUGAUUAAUUCCGGUUGAUGUGUUUUAAUUACAUUUAUCCCCAACCCUUCAGUGCCUGCUUCUAUUGUAAGAUUAAUCCCAUUUACAAUGUUGAAAUAAACUAAGAUUUCUACAAUUAAUUUAUUUUUUUAAUAUAUAUCACUGUAACAGCGGUAUGUGAUUCUGAUAUGUCCACAGAAAUAACAAAACGAAAUGUGAAAAGAGUAAUAUGAAAAUAUGAUCAGAUAGAAGAAAAGAUGUUUGUUAAGCAGGCACCCUGAGGACCUAGAACAAGGCUAUUUGAUAAAUUGUCAUCAUCUUUUUAAAUAUCUUUAAUCAAUACUCAAUUAACUAGUGCUACCUUUUAUAUAUUAAAUUUAAGUCAAUCAACUUUAUUUUAUAUUUCAUUUUCACCUUCACUAGCCAGAAAAUAAUGUCAUUUGCUUUGUGUACAUGAAAUUUUUUAUAUACAGCCCACAUAAAAUCCUCAUUAAUCACAAAAUUCAUUUUAUGUUAUAAAAACUCAUCAAAGUAAUAAAUAGAAUAAUUGAGUCUUUUCAAUUUUCCCUUUCAAUUCAGCAGGAUGGGCCAAAGAGCCCAGAGCUCCGCACUCUGCAUUUUUCAUUUGUAUUGAGUAAUAGCCUCUACAGAAGAAUUUUAGAGCCUGCUUUCCAUUGACAUCUUUCACAGUUUUAAUCUUUAUUAGAAAGUGCAUAUUUGAAUAGGCAGUAUGUGACGUAUGCUCUUAUUGUUCAGCUAGACAACAAGGGCAUGUUCCUGUCUUACAGCUUGUAUGUAAUGAAAGAAAAGAAAAUAAUGGGAAAUCAGUGAUUUACGAUUCUGAUCUUUUAUAAUAAACAUUGUUGGCUAUGUAAGAUAAUUUAAAUUUGUUUUUCUGUAAUGAUGACAUAAUCUUAAGAUUCCAAACUCCUCUUCAAAUCAAGCUCUAAUGUACAGAUUAGAAGGGUAAGUUGUCUUGAAUAGUGAAGACACAUGCUUUUUCUAGAAUUGGUAAAUUUAUACAGACAGUCUCACCAGAUCAACUAGUUUGCUCAAAAAAUAUAUAUAUGUAUCAUAUAUAUUUGCCUUAAUAGUUUAAUCUUAAAAAUAUAAUUAAAAUAAAUUAUAAUUAAAAUUCUAAUGAGCAAUCAGUAUCUAAUUUGAUAUUUUUCAAUCAAUAUGAAUUUUAGGAAUAAAUAGUUUCACUUAUCAAACUUUUUUCAGCACGGGUACCUCAAAUUUUGUUUUUAUUUUUUAUUUUUAGAUGAAGUUUUGCUCUUAUUGCCCAGGCUGCAGUGCAGUGGCACAAUCUCGGCUCACCACAAUCUCCACCUCCUGGGUUCAAGCGAUUCUCCUGAGUCAGCCUCCAGAGUAGCUGGGAUUACAGGCAUGUGCUACCAUGCCUGGCUAAUUUUUGUAUUUUUUAGUAGAGACGGGAUUCUCCAUUGUUGGUCAGAGUGGUCUUGAGCUCCCGACCUCAGGUUAUCCACCCGCCUCUGCCUCCCAAAGUGCUGUGAUUACAGGUGUGAGCCUCCGUGCCUAGCCGGCUACCUCAAAUUUGAAUGCCUAGUGGAACAUCGUGGGGUCAUUUAAGUUUAAAAACUGAUUUUUUUUAAUUUAGUAAGAGAAAUUUUAAUUAUUAAGUCCAGAGAAAUUUUCAGGGCAGGUGUACUAUAUCAACUACUGAUCACUGGGCAUGGUGGCUCAGGCCUGUAAUCCCAGCACUUUGGAAGGUCAAGGCAGGAGAAUCUCUUGAAGCCAGGAGUUCAACAUCAGCCUGGGUAACAAUGUGAUACCCCAUCUCUACAAAAACUAAAUUUUAAUAAAUUGAAAUAAUUAGCUGGGUAUACUGGCAGGCAUCUAUAUUCUUAGCUAUUUGGGAGGCUGAGGUGGGAGGAUCUCUUGAGCCCAGGAGUUUGAGGUUGCAGUGGGCUAUGUUGAGGCCACCGUAUGCCAGCCUGGAUGACAGGGCAAGAUCCUAUCUCAGAAACCAACCAACAAAAAAAUGAUCUAUUGAUAAUUCUAGAAUCUAACCUUACAGAAAAGAAUAAAUAUAGGAAGGAGGAGAAAUGUUUCACUCAUUAGCAUUCCUCACAGGCUUAAAUUUCUUUGAUACUAGCACUGUUUGAGACAUUGAGAUCUGCUAUCUCAUGUCAUAGAAAGAGUUUCAAAAGAGGUUAAGCUCAGCUGACUCAGUAUUGAGAUGUUCUGUUGCAGAAGCUGUCAUCACCUUGUAUGUUUAGUAAGUCUGAUGGUCCAAUACUGAGGUGUCUACAGAUUUCCACUAGAUGCUUUGCUGCAGUAGAGAUUAUGUUGCCACCAUGGUACCAAAGGAAGUAAGGUUUUAGUAAUGUUUUAUGUGGUUUUAAACCCCAUAGUGUGACAGUCAAGGAGACAGGAAAUACAAUGUCUCUUCUUAAUUGUAAUUUUAAAAAUUAACAGUAGAGGCCGGGUGUGGUGGCUCAAGCCUGUAAUUCCAGCACUUUGGGAGGCUGAGGCAGGUGGAUCACGAGGUCAAGAGAUCGAGACCAUCCUGGUCAACAUGGUGAAACCCCAUCUCUACUAAAAAUACAAAAAAUCUGCUAGGCAUGGUGGUGCAUGCCUGUAAUCCCAGCUACCCAGGAGGCUGAGGCAGGAGAAUUGCCUGAACCCAGGAGGCGGAGGUUGCGGUGAGCCGAGAUCGUGCCAUUGCACUCCAGCCUGGGCAACAAGAGCGAAACUCCGUCUCAAAAAAAAAAAAAAAAAAAAAAAUAGAAUAAAUGAACAGUUAAGCUUCCAGUAUUAAUUAAUGUUGCUGAAACCAUAUUUUAUAAAAGAAAUACACCCACUCUUGAGUUUUUCCCCAAAAAACUCAAGUUUUACACCUCUUUAUUUUCCCCAAAAUGGGAUAUGAGACAAAAAAAAAAGACAUUUCUUGAAAUGACUGUUCAUAAUGAGCAUUUUGUAUAAAAGUAUAGUGUUGUUUGUAGCAAAUUCAAGCCUGACAACAAGCCUUCUGUCUCCAUGUAACAUGUGACAAAAAUGGAUGCUCUGGCUGCUGCUGCUCUUUCUAACUUUCUCACUUAGCUUUUCUGAAUCAUUCCAAAGAUGAUGUUCCUCUGUGUUCUAUUACAUAUCCCUUCUUAAAAAACAUUUUGGGGUGACUCAUUUACAUGAAAGAUGGCAAAAAUUUUUGAUAAUAGCACCUCAUAAAUAGUCAACAUUAUGUAUGUUUACACACUUCAGUGCAAGUGAAGAAGGCAAUGCUUGGUGGGGGAUGCUGAAAUUUGCACUACUGAG